AGGCAGACCAUGGGCGCUUGGGCGGCGUUUAGCAUUUGGAUAGAUGUGGAGGAGGGUGAAUGGGCGGGAUUUGUGGUAUGUCCGGGGUUGUUAUGUUUUAUUAAGUACCUUGUGCUUCACAAGAUCGACGUAUAGUCGAAGAAUUGAACCACGGACGCCUAUGUUAUAGGCAGCUUUGAAUGAGCCCACUCGCUGGGUCUACAUCACUGGGAUUUUCCACGGCUAGUUGAAAAUUCCCAGAGUUGGACAGGAUUUCCAAUAGUUCUUCCAUUUCGUGUCUGAUCGUGCAAGGGUUUACUUCUUGUUUCUACCGAGAUGAAGCGAUCACGGAGGAGCGAAUUGUGGAAUGAUUUCGCUAUUCUAGAUCAAGAGUAUGCGAAAUGUGGUUUACGCCAAAAAGUCGUACAGAACCAGCACGACGAACUUGAAGAAACAUGUCGAAAGGUCGCAUAUAAUGGUGAACUUUGCGACAAAUUCUUCAAGAUCCGUCGACCCUGUGUUGCCUGAGCCAGGUGAAGCCUCUCCUGCAGCGUAGCUGCCAGAAGGAGGCACAACAGCAGCAGGACACUGGGGGAAGCAGUUCCCUCCACAUCACAGCAUCGGAUAGCCAUCAGGGAAUAUGUCCCCAAAAAGAUGGGACUGAUUCAAAGGAAGGUCGACAGCAAAUUAAUGGGUUCUGACAUGUGACCUUCUGCCAGUGUGUGAUGGAGUUGCCAAAAUGCAGUUACAAGAAAUUUCAAUGAAAGUUGUUAAUGCACUGAAAGAGGGACUUACAACAGGUUACAGAAUCUUCAUCAGAGCAAAUCCAUUGCCCUUGCCACUCUGCUGGAUCCACGGUUCACAUUGCUGGCAUUUCAGAACCAACAGCAGCAGAUGACACGAAGAAACAGUUAGUUUAUAUUGUUGCCCAGAAACUAGAAGAAUGUAGACCAGAAGGUAUUCAACCUUCACAACAACCUGCUGAGCCAAAUAAUCUGACAACCGAGUCCUUCUCUGUGUGGGGCAUAUUUGGUGAGUUAGUGAAACAUGCACAGCCACGGGGGACAGUACAGCCGUGCUAUUGUAGAGGUCCAAAGAUAUGUUGACAGCUCAGCCAUCAGUAGAAAUGAGGAUCCCCUGGCAUGGUGGAGACAAAAUCAGUACAUUUACCCAGCCACCACAAAAGUAGUGCAAGAGAUUCAAUGUCGUUGCAACUUCUGCACCUUGUGAGAGGGUGUUUCCUAAUAACAGGAUAUUUAAUAAAUGAUAGAACCCAUUUCAAGCCAUCACAUAUCCAGAAACUAAUAUUUCUGAAUGUGAAUGGUACUUGUGAUUAGACACUGUUGCUGGUAAGUGACACAGCAUCAGAACACAGUACAGUCUUAAACUGUUCAUAAGCAGCAUAAUUGCAUUUGAUUACAUAGAGGUAACUAGGUACUUUCAACACAACCAAACAAGACUGCACAACUGUAUGAUUCCUAGCAAAAUGUAAAAUAUGUGAGUAUUUGUGUCAAAUAUGUAGAGGAAACUAUUUACUCUUCUUGUGCACAUGUUGCCAUGUAGAAACUUGUGAACUUAUUUGUAUUUUGAUUACAUGUAGGUAACGGGUCACUUUCAACACAAAAAGACCUCGUAACUGUAUAAUGCCUAGCAAAACGUAAAAUAUGCGAGUAUUCUGAUGUUUUGUAAUUCAUGUUAAGAAUAAUUUUUGCAGGAAUAAGUUAUUUAGGAUGUAUGGAAUAUAACUAGGAACAUGAGUGAAAUGAAAUGUU
rnacentral:lncRNA from 1 species